rfam:Chryseobacterium molle strain DSM 18016 genome assembly, contig: Ga0131196_101
UUCUGAUCUGCGAAGCGCGUGAGCGAUGGUAACGGCUAUCCUUUUGUUUGGCUUUGGGAAGAUGCCGGCAACAAAAGAUAAUAGUGGACAGCGCGACCCUGG